UGUCGAUCCAUGCGGUCCAGCGGAGUAAAGGAGCUUGCUCCCGGAUGUUAGCGGCGGACGGGUGAGUAACACGUGGGUAACCUGCCUGUAAGACUGGGAUAACUCCGGGAAACCGGAGCUAAUACCGGAUAGUUCCUUGAACCGCAUGGUUCAAGGAUGAAAGACGGUUUCGGCUGUCACUUACAGAUGGACCCGCGGCGCAUUAGCUAGUUGGUGAGGUAACGGCUCACCAAGGCGACGAUGCGUAGCCGACCUGAGAGGGUGAUCGGCCACACUGGGACUGAGACACGGCCCAGACUCCUACGGGAGGCAGCAGUAGGGAAUCUUCCGCAAUGGACGAAAGUCUGACGGAGCAACGCCGCGUGAGUGAUGAAGGUUUUCGGAUCGUAAAGCUCUGUUGUUAGGGAAGAACAAGUGCAAGAGUAACUGCUUGCACCUUGACGGUACCUAACCAGAAAGCCACGGCUAACUACGUGCCAGCAGCCGCGGUAAUACGUAGGUGGCAAGCGUUGUCCGGAAUUAUUGGGCGUAAAGGGCUCGCAGGCGGUUUCUUAAGUCUGAUGUGAAAGCCCCCGGCUCAACCGGGGAGGGUCAUUGGAAACUGGGAAACUUGAGUGCAGAAGAGGAGAGUGGAAUUCCACGUGUAGCGGUGAAAUGCGUAGAGAUGUGGAGGAACACCAGUGGCGAAGGCGACUCUCUGGUCUGUAACUGACGCUGAGGAGCGAAAGCGUGAGGAGCGAACAGGAUUAGAUACCCUGGUAGUCCACGCCGUAAACGAUGAGUGCUAAGUGUUAGGGGGUUUCCGCCCCUUAGUGCUGCAGCUAACGCAUUAAGCACUCCGCCUGGGGAGUACGGUCGCAAGACUGAAACUCAAAGGAAUUGACGGGGGCCCGCACAAGCGGUGGAGCAUGUGGUUUAAUUCAAAGCAACGCGAAGAAACUUACCAGGUCUUGACAUCCUCUGACAACCCUAGAGAUAGGGCUUUCCCUUCGGGGACAGAGUGACAGGUGGUGCAUGGUUGUCGUCAGCUCGUGUCGUGAGAUGUUGGGUUAAGUCCCGCAACGAGCGCAACCCUUGAUCUUAGUUGCCAGCAUUCAGUUGGGCACUCUAAGGUGACUGCCGGUGACAAACCGGAGGAAGGUGGGGAUGACGUCAAAUCAUCAUGCCCCUUAUGACCUGGGCUACACACGUGCUACAAUGGACAGAACAAAGGGCUGCGAGACCGCAAGGUUUAGCCAAUCCCACAAAUCUGUUCUCAGUUCGGAUCGCAGUCUGCAACUCGACUGCGUGAAGCUGGAAUCGCUAGUAAUCGCGGAUCAGCAUGCCGCGGUGAAUACGUUCCCGGGCCUUGUACACACCGCCCGUCACACCACGAGAGUUUGCAACACCCGAUGUCGGUGAGGUAACCUUUGGGAGCCAGCCGCCGAAAGGUUGGGGCCC
rnacentral:rRNA from 1 species